rnacentral:lncRNA from 12 species
GUUGGAGUGCACAUGGCUGGAACUGUUCAGAGCACUCUAUGUAAGCCAUAAAAAUUCAAGAGUCAGAAGCAAGCUGUUCUUCCUGAUGAGACCAAAUGAUGUACUCUGCCUUUGAAGAAGCUGUAAUUACAGAAGAGCCUGGCA